rnacentral:misc_RNA from 1 species
GAACGCACCUUGCGCCCUUUGGCCAUUCCGAAGGGCAUGCCUGUUUGAGUAUCAUGAAAAUAUCAACCUUGACUUGGGUUUUGUGCUCUAGUCUCGGCUUGGAAUUGGGUGCUUGCCGCUUUUACGAGCGGCUCACCUUAAAUGUAUUAGCUGGAUCUGUCUUUGAGACUUGGUUUGACUUGGCGUAAUAAGUAUUUCGCUAAGGACAUUCUUCGGAGUGGCCUCGUUUCUAGGACGCUUGUCCGCUUUCCAAUACAAGUUCCACCUCGUGGACAUGACUUUUUAUUAUCUGGCCUCAAAUCAGGUAGGACUACCCGCUGAACUUAAG